rnacentral:misc_RNA from 1 species
UAUCGGAUCGUUUUAGAAACAUCAGUGGCCAACAGAUCGCCAGAUCGUUGAGCUGCAUUGGCGGGAUUUCGCCGUCUUCGUUUCUCUUUCUUCGCGGACGAACACGCGCUGGGCCUGCAUCAAGCAGGACCCACGGUCCCUGACGGGAUAUGCGUUAGGGGCUUGUAGCUCAGUUGGUUAGAGCGCGCGCUUGAUAAGCGUGAGGUCGGAAGUUCAAGUCUUCCCAGGCCCACCACUUUCAUCGAGUGAGCAUUCGUCUUCUGGUUACGGGGCCAUAGCUCAGCUGGGAGAGCGCGUGCUUUGCAAGCAUGAGGUCGUCGGUUCGAUCCCGUCUGGCUCCACCAGAUGGUUUGAUCACCGAGAUCUUGCACCGUCGUCCGCGAAACAUCACUUCGCAUCCUGCUAGUCUGGAUAGACAGCAAGAUGCGUGUUUUCUGACAUCGUAAAGAGGAGAUCGAUCCGAGUUGGGUCGUGCAGCAGAUUGUUGCGCGAACCUUCAUUAUCUCCGGAUCAUUUUCGGCGCUCGCUUUCAGCCGUGAGGUUGAAUGCGAGUUGUAAAAUGAUCCUUUUAGCGAAGCUUGACCGCCUCGCUAUCGGAACGAUCUUACGAAGCAAGCUGGUCUUUCUAGUCAAUGUCCGGCUGCACGUAGCAUUCAUCGAGGGUGCGCGCCGUAAGGCAAUCGUGCAGACAACAUUCUGCCGAGUGUGUGGACAUUGAUAAUGAGAGCAAUCAAGUGCCUUAAGGGUGUUCGGUGGAUGCCUUGGCGCUGAGAGGCGAUGAAGGACGUGCUACGCUGCGAUAAGCCGUGGGGGAGCUGCGAAGAAGCUUUGAUCCGCGGA